AACGAACGCUGGCGGCAGGCCUAACACAUGCAAGUCGAGCGAGACCUUCGGGUCUAGCGGCGGACGGGUUAGUAACGCGUGGGAACGUGCCCUUCUCUGCGGAAUAGCCACUGGAAACGGUGAGUAAUACCGCAUACGCCCUUCGGGGGAAAGAUUUAUCGGAGAAGGAUCGGCCCGCGUUAGAUUAGAUAGUUGGUGGGGUAACGGCCUACCAAGUCUACGAUCUAUAGCUGGUUUUAGAGGAUGAUCAGCAACACUGGGACUGAGACACGGCCCAGACUCCUACGGGAGGCAGCAGUGGGGAAUCUUGGACAAUGGGCGCAAGCCUGAUCCAGCCAUGCCGCGUGAGUGAUGAAGGCCUUAGGGUCGUAAAGCUCUUUCGCCAGAGAUGAUAAUGACAGUAUCUGGUAAAGAAGUCCCGGCUAACUCCGUG
rnacentral:rRNA from 1 species